rnacentral:rRNA from 1 species
GGGUUGUGAGGUUAAGCGACUAAGCGUACACGGUGGAUGCCCUGGCAGUCAGAGGCGAUGAAGGGCGUGCUAAUCUGCGAUAAGCGCCGGUAAGGUGAUAUGAACCGUUAUAACCGGCGAUACCCGAAUGGGGAAACCCAGUGUGACUCGUCACACUAUCAUUAACUGAAUCCAUAGGUUAAUGAGGCGAACCGGGGGAACUGAAACAUCUAAGUACCCCGAGGAAAAGAAAUCAACCGAGAUUCCCCCAGUAGCGGCGAGCGAACGGGGAGGAGCCCAGAGCCUGAAUCAGCAUGUGUGUUAGUGGAAGCGUCUGGAAAGGCGCGCGAUACAGGGUGACAGCCCCGUACACAAAAGCGCAUGUGCUGUGAGCUCGAUGAGUAGGGCGGGACACGUGGUAUCCUGUCUGAAUAUGGGGGGACCAUCCUCCAAGGCUAAAUACUCCUGACUGACCGAUAGUGAACCAGUACCGUGAGGGAAAGGCGAAAAGAACCCCGGCGAGGGGAGUGAAAAAGAACCUGAAACCGUGUACGUACAAGCAGUGGGAGCACAGGUUUACCUGUGUGACUGCGUACCUUUUGUAUAAUGGGUCAGCGACUUAUAUUCUGUAGCAAGGUUAACCGUAUAGGGGA